rnacentral:rRNA from 1 species
GAUUCGGGGUGCAGCAGGCGCGAAAACUUUGCAAUAAGCGAAAGCUUGACAGGGCUAUCCCGAGUGCCAUCCGCUGAGGAAGGCUUUUACCCAGUCUAGAACGCUGGGGGAAUAAGGAGAGGGCAAGUCUGGUGUCAGCCGCCGCGGUAAUACCAGCUCUCCGAGUGGUGUGGAUGUUUAUUGGGCCUAAAGCAUCCGUAGCUGGCCAAGUUAGUCCCUUGUUAAAUCCACCGAAUUAAUCGUUGGAUUGCGGGGGAUACUGCUUGGCUAGGGGACGAGAGAGACAGACGGUAUUUUCGGGGUAGGGGUGAAAUCCUAUAAUCCCGGGAAGACCACCAGUGGCGAAGGCUGUCUGCUAGAACGCGCCCGACGGUGAGGGAUGAAAGCUGGGGGAGCGAACCGGAUUAGAUACCCGGGUAGUCCCAGCUGUAAACGAUGCAGACUAGGUGUUUGGACGGCCACGUGCCGUUCUAGUGCCGCAGGGAAGCUGUUAAGUCUGCCGCCUGGGGAGUACGAUCGCAAGAUUGAAACUUAAAGGAAUUGGCGGGGGAGCACAAUCACUAGUGAAU